UCUUCUACUCCUGAGAUUCUCUCUUCCAUCUCUUGUAUUCUGUUGGUGAAGCUCGUAUCUACAGCUCCUUGUCUCUUCUUUUGGUUUUCUAUAUCCAGGGUUGUUUCCAUGUGUUCUUUCUUGAUUGCUUCUAUUUCCAUUUUUAAUUCCUUCAACUGUUUGAUUGUGUUUUCCUGGAAUUCUUUCAGAGAUUUUUGUGACUCCUCUCUAGGGGCUUCUACUUGUUUAUUUAUGAUUUCCUGGAAUUCUUUCAGGGAUUUUUGUGACUCCUCUCUAUGGGCUUCUACUUGUUUAAUUAUGAUUUCCUGGAAUUCCUUCCGGGAUUUUUGCGAUUCCUCUCUGUAGGCUUCUACUUGUUCUCUAAGGGAGUUCUUCACGUCUUUCUUGAAGUCCUCCAGCAUCAUGAUCAAAUAUGAUUUUGAAACUAGAUCUUGCUUUUCUGGUGUGUUUGGAUAUUCCGUGUUUGCUUUGGUGGGAGAAUUGGGCUCCGAUGAUGCCAUGUAGUCUUGGUUUCUGUUGCUUGGGUUCCUGCGCUUGCCUCUUGCCAUCAGAUUAUCUCUAGUGUUACUUUGUUCUCCUAUUUCUGACAGUGGCUAGACUGUCCUAUAAGCCUGUGUGUCAGGAGUGCUGUAGACCUGUUUUCCUGUUUUCUUU
rnacentral:lncRNA from 1 species